CUUUCUCAACUCAGUGCAAACAAUGAAACAACGUUUCAGUGCUCCUCAGUGCUUGGCAACUCAGCAAGUCUCAGUUCAGACAGAGGGCCCCAGAGAUUCCUAUUUGGACCACAGCCUCCAAGACUGCCCAGAGCUAAGGAAUCCCUGGCUGAAAAUGCAUUUCAGACCCAGAUCUGACUCUCCACAUCGGACACGAAAGUAUUCCAUUACCCAGCUGUUCCCAGCUGGCAGGAGAAGACAGGCCCACAUCAAAGUGUCACCUCGGCUCCAGAGGGGAGCCUUCACACCGCUCAACAAUGGAGGUCAGAGGUCACAGCCAAGUUCGUCAGCUCCGUGCAGUCCCAACUGGGCAUGGAAAUGCUUGCGCUCACAGAGACUCUCUGUGCCCGUCGGGAUUCAGAAUGGAGAAAAUAUGAAAUGAACAGCCGGAGGUGAGUGGGCAAGCCAGUGACCGGACAGCAUCCGUGUGCCAUGUUAAGUGGAGAGUGAGCUCAGGUCCCGAGUUCAAUUCCCAGCAACCACAUGGUGGCUCAUGACCAUCUAUAAGGCAAUCUGAUGCCCUCUUCUGGUAUUUGGGUGUACAUGCAGCAGAAUACUCACUCAA
rnacentral:lncRNA from 1 species